rnacentral:rRNA from 1 species
CAGUCGCCGCGGGAAUACGUAGGUGGCAAGCGUUGUCCGGAAUUAUUGGGCGUAAAGGGCUCGCAGGCGGUUUCUUAAGUCUGAUGUGAAAGCCCCCGGCUCAACCGGGGAGGGUCAUUGGAAACUGGGAAACUUGAGUGCAGAAGAGGAGAGUGGAAUUCCACGUGUAGCGGUGAAAUGCGUAGAGAUGUGGAGGAACACCAGUGGCGAAGGCGACUCUCUGGUCUGUAACUGACGCUGAGGAGCGAAAGCGUGGGGAGCAAACAGGAUUAGAGACCCGGGUAGUCCCUGUCUCUUAUAC